ensembl:ncRNA Y71F9AR.7 ncRNA
CUCGCACAUACCUAAUUACAGGUGUCAAUAUAUACCCUUCCAUGUCUCAAUUGUCACAUUCGAUUCACGUCAUAUGCCAAUCCCGGGGAGAGGGUCUCGCGCACUCUUGAUUACUUGGCAUCGCG